GACGAACGCUGGCGGCGUGCUUAACACAUGCAAGUCGAACGGAAAGGCCCUGCUUUUGUGGGGUGCUCGAGUGGCGAACGGGUGAGUAACACGUGAGUAACCUGCCCUUGACUUUGGGAUAACUUCAGGAAACUGGGGCUAAUACCGGAUAGGAGCUCCUGCUGCAUGGUGGGGGUUGGAAAGUUUCGGCGGUUGGGGAUGGACUCGCGGCUUAUCAGCUUGUUGGUGGGGUAGUGGCUUACCAAGGCUUUGACGGGUAGCCGGCCUGAGAGGGUGACCGGCCAGUGGGGGACGGGCGGGCCGCGCAGGCGCGGAGGGGCGGGGGGGGUGGGGCAGAGCGCACGGGGGGCGGACGGCGGGGCGGGGAGGGCCGGGUGGGGGCGGGCGGCGUGCGUGGGUUACACCGCUUUCGCGUGGGGCGAAGCGGGGGUGACGGGGAUGGGAAAGGAGGCACCGGCUAACUAGGGGGCAGAGGCCGGAGGAAUACGCGGAAGAGCACCGGUCUGAAC
rnacentral:rRNA from 1 species